rnacentral:rRNA from 1 species
GAUCCUGGCUUAGGAUGAACGCUAGCUACAGGCUUAACACAUGCAAGUCGAGGGGCAGCAUUGGAGUAGCAAUACUCAGAUGGCGACCGGCGCACGGGUGAGUAACACGUAUCCAACCUGCCGCUUACUCGGGGAUAGCCUUUCGAAAGAAAGAUUAAUACCCGAUGGUAUAAAGAGUUCGCAUGUUCUCUUUAUUAAAGAAUUUCGGUAAGCGAUGGGGAUGCGUUCCAUUAGAUAGUUGGCGGGGUAACGGCCCACCAAGUCUACGAUGGAUAGGGGUUCUGAGAGGAAGGUCCCCCACAUUGGAACUGAGACACGGUCCAAACUCCUACGGGAGGCAGCAGUGAGGAAUAUUGGUCAAUGGACGAGAGUCUGAACCAGCCAAAAGUAGCGUGAAGGAUGACUGCCCUAUGGGUUGUAAACUUCUUUUAUAAGGGAAUAAAGUGAGGGACGUGUCCCUUUUUGUAUGUACCUUAUGAAUAAGGAUCGGCUAACUCCGUGCCAGCCGCCGC